rnacentral:rRNA from 1 species
CCUACGGGGGGCAGCAGUGGGGAAUAUUGGUCAAUGGGCGAGAGCCUGAACCAGCCACGUCGCGUGAAGGAUGACGGCCCUCCGGGUUGUAAACUUCUUUUGUCAGGGAGCAAUUGGGUCCACGCGUGGGCUUAGCGAGAGUACCUGACGAAACAGCAUCGGCUAACUCCGUGCCAGCAGCGGCGGUAAUACGGAGGAUGCGAGCGUUAUCCGGAUUUAUUGGGUUAACAGGGGGCGUAGGCGGAAUAUCAAGUCAGCGGUAAAAAUUCGGGGCUAAACCCCGUCGUGCCGUUGAAACUGAUGUUCUGGAGUGGGCGAGAAGUAUGCGGAAUGCGUGGUGUAGCGGUGAAAUGCAUAGAUAUCACGCAGAACUCCGAUUGCGAAGGCAGCAUACCGGCGCCCAACUGACGCUGAAGCACGAAAGCGUGGGUAGCGAACAGGAUUAGAUACCCCUGUAGUC